rnacentral:rRNA from 1 species
AUUGAACGCUGGCGGCAGGCCUAACACAUGCAAGUCGAGCGAGCGGCGGACGGGUGAGUAAUGUCUGGGAAACUGCCUGAUGGAGGGGGAUAACUACUGGAAACGGUAGCUAAUCCCGCCUAACAUCAGAUGUUCCCAGAUGGGAUUAGCUAGUAGGUGGGGUAACGGCUCAACUCGGCGACGAUCCCUAGCUGGUCUGAGAGGAUGACCAGCCACACUGGAACUGAGAAACGUCCCAGACUCCUACGGGAGGCAGCAGUGGGUAAUAUUGCACAAUGGGCGCAAGCCUGAUGCAGCCAUGCCGCGGGUGUGAAGAAGGCCUUCGGGUUGGAAAGCACUUUCAGCGGGGAGGCGUUACCCGCAGAAGAAGCACCGGCUAACUCCGUGCCAGCAGCCGCGGUAAUAC